rnacentral:rRNA from 1 species
CCAGACUCCUACGGGAGGCAGCAGUGAGGAAUAUUGGUCAAUGGGCGGGAGCCUGAACCAGCCAAGCCGCGUGAGGGAAGAAGGUACAGCGUAUCGUAAACCUCUUUUGUCAGGGAACAAAGGCGGGGACUAGUCCCCGGAUGAGGGUACCCGAAGAAAAAGCAUCGGCUAACUACGUGCCAGCAGCCGCGGUAAUACGUAGGGAGCGAGCGUUGUCCGGAUUUACUGGGUGUAAAGGGUGCGUAGGCGGGUAAGCAAGUCAGAAGUGAAAUCCAUGGGCUUAACCCAUGAGCUGCUUUUGAAACUGUUUAUCUUGAGUGAAGUAGAGGUAGGCGGAAUUCCCGGUGUAGUGGUGAAAUGCGUAGAGAUCGGGAGGAACACCAGUGGCGAAGGCGGCCUACUGGGCUUUAACUGACGCUGAAGCACGAAAGCGUGGAUAGCAAACAGGAUUAGAUACCCCUGUA